rnacentral:rRNA from 1 species
CAGUCGCCGCGGGAAUACGUAGGGUGCAAGCGUUAAUCGGAAUUACUGGGCGUAAAGCGUGCGCAGGCGGUUAUAUAAGUCAGAUGUGAAAUCCCCGGGCUCAACCUGGGAACUGCAUUUGAGACUGUAUGGCUAGAGUGUGUCAGAGGGGGGUAGAAUUCCACGUGUAGCAGUGAAAUGCGUAGAUAUGUGGAGGAAUACCGAUGGCGAAGGCAGCCCCCUGGGGUAACACUGACGCUCAUGCACGAAAGCGUGGGGAGCAAACAGGAUUAGAUACCCGGGUAGUCCCUGUCUCUUAUAC